rnacentral:pre_miRNA from 13 species
GGGCGCGGGGAGGUCUCUGUGUUGGGCGUCUGUCUGCCCGCAUGCCUGCCUCUCUGUUGCUCUGAAGGAGGCAGGGGCUGGGCCUGCAGCUGCCUGGGCAGAGCGGCUCCUAUGUGGGAC